rnacentral:rRNA from 1 species
CCUACGGGUGACAGCAGUGAGGAAUAUUGGUCAAUGGGCGCGAGCCUGAACCAGCCAAGUAGCGUGAAGGAUGACUGCCCUACGGGUUGUAAACUUCUUUUAUAAAGGAAUAAAGUGAGGCACGUGUGCCUUUUUGUAUUUACUUUAUGAAUAAGGAUCGGCUAACUCCGUGCCAGCAGCCGCGGUAAUACGGAGGAUCCGAGCGUUAUCCGGAUUUAUUGGGUUUAAAGGGAGCGUAGAUGGGUUGUUAAGUCAGGUGUGAAAUUUUGCGGCUCAACCGUAAAAUUGCAAUUGAUACUGGCAGACUUGAGUUCAGUAGAGGUAGGCGGAAUUCGAGGUGUAGCGGUGAAAUGCUUAGAUAUCACGAAGAACACCGAUUGCGAAGGCAGCUUACUAAACUGCCACUGACAUUGAUGCACGAAAGUGUGGGUAUCAAACAGGAUUAGAUACCCCAGUAGUC